rnacentral:lncRNA from 1 species
UUUUUUUUAAAUGUAGUAAUGAAUAUCUCUUUAAUGAAUCACGGUAAAAACAUUAUUCUAUUAGGUUUUUCCUUGUUUUAUACCUCAAGAUAACCCAAUAAAUCCAGUAUUUCAAACUUAAUAGAAUGAAACAGAAAAUUAUUAUAGUUUAGAGCCACAUGAAUCACAUUUUUCAAAUAGUGGAAAUCUAAAAAGAAAUCUUUAUGAGAUGCAGAAAAUGCAGUCAGAAAUAUGUAGCCUCACAUGUUGAGCAAAUAUAUUAAUAACCAGGAAGAUAUUUUUGCUAUCGUACUGAAUCUUCACAUUAAGGGAAAAAAAAUUAUGGGAUAUGAAAAAGGAAUAUGUAGGAUAAAGAAUUUAUUAUAACAAACAAAAAGGUAAAGGGAGAAAAAGAAAGAACAAAUGCAGAAUCAAAGUAUUCUGGUAUCUAAGAUAGAGGGUGAGGAAGUGACAAGGUGUGGUUCAAAAUGAGCUACUUUUGGUAGCUUUUUGAAGCUGGGAGUACCAUAAAUUCAAGAUGGUGGUGGUUAUUUCUUAGCCCCGGUUUGGUACAAAUUAAAAUUCAGAUUUUAAUCUAAAUUAAAGUCAACAACUAAUUCUAAUCACAAAUUUAAUGGGACCAACAACUUUUCAAUUACACAUUUCAACAACUUUUAUCAAAAUCUACUAAAAAUUUGAUUUUAAUCCCCUUCAAACAUGAGCUUAGUUUAUAUAGUAUAGUAACCUCAGUGGCAUAAUAUUUCUUUUCCUAGAAUAUUUUAUCUACCAUUGGCAUUUCAAGAAAAUGCACUAAUGUUGGGUCAUAAAUGCUCAAACACCUUGCAGGAGAUUUUUUUUUUAUUUUUUAUUUUUUUUAAAUGUAGUAAUGAAUUUCUCUUUAAUGAAUCACGGUAAAAACAUUAUUCUAUUAGGUUUUUCCUUGUUUUAUACCUCAAGAUAACCCAAUAAAUCCAGUAUUUCAAACUUAAUAGAAUGAAACAGAAAAUUAUUAUAGUUUAGAGCCACAUGAAUCACAUUUUUCAAAUAGUGGAAAUCUAAAAAGAAAUCUUUAUGAGAUGCAGAAAAUGCAGUCAGAAAUAUGUAGCCCUGUUUGGCUCAGCUUAAAAAGUAGAUUAAAAUAUUUAAGUCAAAGUCAAUAUUUAAUUUUAACCAAUCCACAACUUUUCAACUAUAUG